rnacentral:tRNA from 1 species
GGAGAGAUGGCUGAGCGGUUGAAAGCGCACGCUUGGAAAGUGUGUAUACGAGAAAUCGUAUCGUGGGUUCGAAUCCCACUCUCUCCGCCA